UGGCGGAGGCCUACACAUGCAAGUCGAGGGGGAAGCUAUCUUCGGAUAGUGGAGACCGGCGCACGGGUGAGUAACGCGUGGGAACCUACCCUGGGGUGGGGGAUAACCACUGGAAACGGUGGCUAAUACCGCAUACGCCUUGAGAGGGAAAGAUUUAUCGCCCUGGAACGGGCCCGCGUUGGAUUAGCUUGUUGGUGAGGUAAAGGCUCACCAAGGCGACGAUCUAUAGCUGGUCUGAGAGGAUGAUCAGCCACACUGGGACUGAGACACGGCCCAGACUCCUACGGGAGGCAGCAGUGGGGAAUAUUGGACAAUGGGGGCAACCCUGAUCCAGCCAUGCCGCGUGCGUGAAGAAGGCCUUAGGGUUGUAAAGCGCUUUCACCGGUGAAGAUGAUGACGGUAGCCGGAGAAGAAGCCCCGGCUAACUCCGUGCCAGCAGCCGCGGUAAUACGGAGGGGGCAAGCGUUGUUCGGAAUGACUGGGCGUAAAGGGCGCGUAGGCGGAUGUGUAAGUUGGGGGUGAAAGGCCUGGGCUCAACCUGGGAAUUGCCUCCAAAACUACACGUCUUGAGUUCGGAAGAGGAUGGCGGAAUUCCCAGUGUAGAGGUGAAAUUCGUAGAUAUUGGGAAGAACACCGGUGGCGAAGGCGGCCAUCUGGUCCGAUACUGACGCUGAGGCGCGAAAGCGUGGGGAGCAAACAGGAUUAGAUACCC
rnacentral:rRNA from 1 species